AAGUAAUAUAACUGAGGACGAUAGAACAGCUUCAUGAAGCUUCACUCUGCUUUGCUUAGAUUGAAUGGGAAGGGCUGGCUAAGAGAAGAGGCUUUGGGAAAAUGCCUACAGCUAGAUGUAUCUUUUAACGUUAAAGAAAGAAACCAGAAAAGCCUUUCAGAAGUAAACCAAAGAGCUGUUUUUCAGAAGGUUAGAGUCCACCUGGAGUAGUCAGAGAAACAAAUUGUUCAAACAAUGUGAACAUGUAACAUCUGUGAUUUUCAAAAAGGAAGUGUAUGGCAAACAGGAUGCAAUCGGCCAGUUCAUAAGGUGGGCAAGACUGUCUCACCGGAAGGGUUACAGUGAGGUUUGCUGUUUUACAUGAAGGUCUUGUGGGUGUACAUGGCUCUCUGUAGUUUUGCUUGACAG